CUUAAUUUCUCAGCAUGUCAGGCGAUGCGUAAACGGUAAGCAAACGAUCCGGAAACACGACGCGAAAGAGAAAAAUAUAAAUACACGUCCCCCGCUUAGAGAACACAAACAGCCCAAAUUAAAUUUAUUUUCCACUUGUCCAGAAAUUCUCUCGCCUCUCUCGAUAAUUUGUUCUAAACUGUUAACCCUAAAUUCCCGGACGACAGAAAAAGAAGCAAGAUCACUAACAAAACUUCCUAAAUUGGCGUUAAUUUUCUAAUUACAGAAUGAUAGGGAGGGUGACGAGCUUUAUGAAGAAGCUACAUGCAUGGGAGAAAUCACUCUAUGAAUGUUUCUAUGGAAAUGCAACAUAUAUAUGCUGAAAAUAUGUGUUGGGCUACCAUACAACAAUCCGGAUUUUGCAGUGUAGAGCUGCAAUUAGCAACAAUCAUGUUGAUAUACAUACCCUCGUAAGGUUCAUAUGCACCUUUACCAGAUGAUGCUGAAACAUGACAACAUGUUCACUCUAGGCAUAACAGUAGCGGGGAUAGCUCAGUUGGGAGAGCGUCAGACUGAAGAUCUGAAGGUCACGUGUUUGAUCCACGUUCACCGCAUAUAUGCACUCUGUUCUCUCUUUUACCUUUUAUGGUUUUUGGUACUGUUUUUAGUGAUUCAUUGAUUGUGUUUUGUUAUAUUUAGGCUUUAAGCUGCAUCAUGAGUACAUAGUAAUCUUAUUGACAUGAUUUGAAAUGUAUAAUCUCCCUUUCUUAUUGUAAUCAAAAAGUUGACAUGGGUUGAAUGUAUGAAAAGGCUUCUUACAUAAUUUGUAAUGUUUUGCAUCUCUUUGCAGUACUAUCUACAGAUAUUUUAUUCUCCAAAACAACCAUUUUUUGGCUAAUUGUCUGGUCUUACUUUCGAUCGAUAUGGGUGUGUCGUGUGUGCCAGGAUGAAAACAAAAUGGCACUUUCUUUCUUGUAAUAUAAAUAAUAUGUUUUAUAAUGUCUACUUUGUUCUCUUGUAUGUUGAUGAGAUACAACUCUAGACCUCUACUAAUAUCAUUGGCAUGAAAUGUAAUGUUACAGUUUAGUGGUUAGAUAUAUUGAUGUGCAGAAGCAUAACAGCAGCGCGGAUAGCUCAGUCGGGAGAGUGUCAGACAAGAUCUAGCAGAGAUAAUUGAAGAAUGUGCAGCGCUUUUCGAAGAAGUUACGGAUACAGAGCAAUCAUUCCACAAAUGAAACAUUUCUAUGUUGGAAACAGGCGGUUGGUGUAGCUUUCGACUUGUGCAAUGCACAGCUGCAGUUAUGGUGAGCAGAGAUAAGUGAAGAACGUGCAGUGCUGUUGGAAAAAGUUAUGGAUUCAGAGCAAUCAUUCCUUGACUGUUUCUUUAGAAAUGAAACAUUUCUAUGCUGGAAACAGGCGGUAGGUGUAGCUUUCGACUUGUGCAAAGCCCAGCUGUAAUGAAGGUGAUGAACGGACAAAGAGGGACUGCGAUGAGAUUUUGGGGGAGCUUAGGGUUAUGGAGCAAUCAGUCCAUGACAGUUUCGUAGAAAAUGCAACAUUCCCAUGUCGAAAACAUGCAGCUGGAUGUGAAUCUUUUGGCUUGUGCAGCGCGCAGUUGCAGUUGCGAUGGUAUGGCCUUCUCUUAAUCUCCAUAUCAGACAUUGAUAAACAACUAUUGAAGGCACAUUGAAGCAUUAUAUGACUUGCUACUGCAUCCAUUGCCCUGUUGCUCAAUAUUUUGAAUAUCCAAAAAUUGGGAUGGUUCUGGAGAUCUCGGGAACCCCGGCUUUACCCGUACCGUACUCACCCCUAGUUGCUGUCUUUUUUCCUAUUUUUGUCUAACAGAUUUCUUCAUCCAGCACAAGGAAAAUGACAGGAAACUAAUAUGGUUAGGGGUUGUUAUGCUUUUCUUGCACUUGUGAAGUGAAGUUGUAUGUUCAUGGUUUCCCCCAAAAGAAUCUGCUCCUUGUAAAAUUCACUUUUCUUUGGGAUCCAUGGUUUUGUGAAAUGGGUGCACAAAGGAGUACGAGUGGCAUGUGUUGAAAAACAAUAAUGCACAAGCACUCCGAGUCUAUGAAACACCACUGCUGAGUUUCCCUUAUUUCUGAAAAGUCAUCGGUAACUGAAGCGCGUGAUAAGAUGCAUGGGAUGAACGGACGAAAAGAGGGACUGCGACGAGAUUUUGGGGGAGCUUAGAGUUAUGGAGCAAUCACUCCAUGACCCUUUCUUAGAAAAUGCAACAUUCCCAUGUCGAAAACAUGCAGCUGGACGUGAAUCUUUUGGCUUGUGCAGCGCGCAGCUGCAGUUGCGAUGGUAUGGCCUUCUCUCAAUCUCCAUAUCAGACAUUGAUAAACAACUAUCAAAGGCACAAUGAAGCAUCAUGUGACUUGCUGCUGCAUCCAUUGCCUUGCUGCUGUCUUUUUUCCUUUUUGUUAAAGUUUGUUCUUGUUUCUGUAAUAUGGUUGAGACUUGAGAAGUGAGAAUAAAGGUUAUUAUGUUGAUGCCAUCACAUGGAUUUUCGAGGGGUUUAUAUACUGCACGUAAAUUUAUUAUAGGACUAUGUUGUCUAGGAGAAAGUCUUGGUUAGCAAGGGAAUUGUUUGGUGCAAAGUGGUAACCGUUUCUUCCUAGAAUUUGUUGUCUUUUAGUAGGAAAAUGUUCCAUGAAAUUGUUUGUGUGCUAUGUUUGAAAUAACAACUUCCUCUUCUAGGCAUCUCCAACUUUAUUUUCAAAUGUCCCACUGGUGACAUCUCCAAAGGAAUCUCAUAGUUUAGUAGUAAGACAAAAAUUUGCACUUAAAGACAUAAACUGUUAUGUGUAAGUGAACAAAUUAUCUCCUUUGAGAAUUUCUAUUGUUUUGGAUUCUUGGUUAUGUAUGAGAUUGGUGGGUAUGUCUAUACAGCAAUCUGUAUUAUAUGUUUUGUAUGUACACAUAUGCUGUUAGUUAAUAGUUAUGAAAACCAAUAACGGUAUGCUAUGCUAGUUUAGUUGUAAUGUCCUGCUAGUGUGGGAGUCACAAAAUCAUUCUUUACUAGUCAAAAUGGUUUAUUAUGUCAUUGAUGUCUUACAUAAUCUUCAGUGUUUUUCAGUUACUUCUUGAAGUACAUCUUAAGUCGUUUCUGCAUAGCAAUCACUUGUUGACUUCUUACUCUUUGUAUGUACCGUCAACUGAUACGGGUUAAACAAAAUGCCAUCCACAGACUGUAUUGAUGUUAAUCUGUAACAGUAUGUUUUAAAUUUACAGUUUUAUUGCUUUGCUAGAUACUCUACUCAUAUCAUUCGUCUGUAAGAUUUUGAAUCUUUCAGCCUUCAUUGUUGAUUCUGGAAACAAUCAGUCUUCGUAAUGUACCUAAUCUGCUUUCUUCUAUUCAGAAUGAAUAUCAGGGAUUGUGACGAGCUCUUUGUAGCAGCUACAGACAUGGAACAAUCAAUCCAUGACUGUAUCUUAGAAAAAGCAACAUUCCCGUGUUGAAAACAUGCUCUAGGACGUGCAUCUUUUGGCUUGUGCAGAGCGCAGCUGCAGUUGCGAUGGUACGGCCUUCUCUCAAUAUCCAUAUCGGACAAUGAUAAACUACUGUCAAAGACAUACUGAGGUGCAGAAAGGAGUACGAGUGGCAUGUGUUGGAAAACAAUAAUGCACAAUCACUCCGAGUCUAUGAAACACCACUGCUGAGUUUCCCUUAUUUCUGAAUAGUCAUAGGUAACUGAAGCACGUGAUAAGAUGCAUGGGAUGAACGGACAAAAAGAGGGACUGCGACGAGAUUUUGGGGGAGCUUAGAGUUAUGGAGCAAUCACUCCAUGACCCUUUCUUAGAAAAUGCAACAUUCCCAUGUCGAAAACAUGCAGCUGGACGUGAAUCUUUUGGCUUGUGCAGCGCGCAGCUGCAGUUGCGAUGUGAAAUCAAAAUUUAAAAAUGUGGCAUAUGGAUUGACUGAUAUGUUAGUGACCUGGUAGAAGACAAGAAAGAAGACUUGGCAUAUACCUUCUAGCCUUGCCAACAAUAACAUGGAUUGUGACGAGCCCUUUGUAGCAGCUACAGACAUGGAACAAUCAAUCCAUGACUGUAUCUUAGAAAAAGCAACAUUCCCGUGUUGAAAACAUGCUUUAGGACGUGCAUCUUUUGGCUUGUGCAGCGCGCAGCUGCAGUUGCGAUGGUACGGCCUUCUCUCAAUAUCCAUAUCGGACAUUGAUAAACUGCUGUCAAAGACAUACUGAGAUGAACGGACAAAAAGAGGGACUGCGACGAGAUUUUGGGGGAGCUUAGAGUUAUGGAGCAAUCACUCCAUGACCCUUUCUUAGAAAAUGCAACAUUCCCAUGUCGAAAACAUGCAACUGGACGUGAAUCUUUUGGCUUGUGCAGCGCGCAGCUGCAGUUGCGAUGGGAUUGUGAAGAGCUCUUUGUAGCAGCUACAGACAUGGAACAAUCAAUCCAUGACUGUAUCUUAGAAAAAGCAACAUUCCCGUGUUGAAAACAUGCUUUAGGACGUGCAUCUUUUGGCUUGUGCAGCGCGCAGCUGCAGUUGCGAUGGUACGGCCUUCUCUCAAUAUCCAUAUCGGACAUUGAUAAACUACUGUCAAAGACAUACUGAGGUAACAUGUGACCUGAUACUGCAUCCAUUAUUGUGCUGGUUUCUUUUUCUUUAAAUUUGUAUGUGCUUGUUUCUGUAAUCUGGUUGAUUAUAAGUGAAAUAUGUUGAUGCCAUCACAUGGUUUUUGGAGGGUAUAUAUACUGCAUGUAAUCUGGAGGCUUAGAGGUUUGUGAAGUUGUCUAUGAGAAUGUGUUAGUUGGUGAGGGGAAUGUUUGGUGCAAAUUGGUAACCGUUUUUCCCUAUGAAGUGUUGUCUUCUAGUAGUAGUAACCAAGGAUUCCGUUUAGUAAUACUUUUGAAAUAACAAACUCUGUUCUAGGUAUCUCCAACUUUAUUUUCAAGCUUUUGAGUAUUGACUUUUCUGAUGGUAAUAAAUUGCAUUAGAUGACAUUUUUCUAAUGCAAGUAAACAAAGUAUUUCUUCUAGGAAUCAUUAUUGUUUUGGAUUAUUGGUUAUGUAUGAGGUAGAUGGGUUGGUGGGUAUGUAUGUACAACAUUGAAUCUGUGACAUGUAAGUUUAAAUCACACAAUAUGCUCUUAGUUAUUGUAAAAAGCAAUAACGGUAUGCUUUAUUACCUUAGUGUUAUGCUUAGGGUGACUAAUAGUCCAAUGAUUUUGGUAUCUAGCGAAGAUCUCAUUGCUCACAUGUAGACAUAAACUGUUGUUCUUCGCUAUAAACUUUUUGUCACAUGUAGGCAUAAACUGCUGUCCUUCGAUUUUGUUUGUGAUGUUGAAAGUGAAAUGUUCUGUCUUCUGUAUUAUAUAAACAAUGUCUUAACGGAUUUCAUUGUAUGGUGUCGGUAAUGAUUGUCUAAAGUGUGAAUUAAUCUAGGAGAAAAAUGUUUUGCAUCAGUUAGUUAUCCUAUUUUUGGACCAAUGUAUCUUGUGCUGUCGUAUUAGUGGUUGAUAUUCCUAAGUUAAUAUUAAGCUUGAUUAGGCUAACUUAUUCCUUGAUUUCAUGCAUGCGAUCUGUCUUAUGACCUUAGUAAGCUUGUUUGUUUGUAUUGCUGAAAAUGAAAUGUUUUGUCUAUAUUAAUUAUUAUGUAUCCGUUGUCUAACAAAUUUCUUGGUCCAGCACAAGGAAAGUGACAGGAACUGUUUCAUUAAUAUGGUUUAUGCACACACUCAGACACUUUUUACGGAAGGAUAUACAAGUAUGUAUUGUAUAAUUAUGAUAUAAUGUACCAUGUUUUCUAUGUAAAUAACCGUCACUUAAUCCAACUGAGCAUCUAUUAUCGCAACUGAAUUUUGGAGUUAUAAUGGCUCUGCAACUUUUACACUUGGUUGUUAAACUAUUGGUAAAAAGCAAGCACUGGUUUAAAUAAUGGAAGUGCUGGUUGAAAUAGAUUACACAGUAUAGAUUUCAAAUUUCUAAGUUCUACACUUGGAGUUACAAUUUAAUUUUCUAUAUUUCCUACAAAGACUAGACUGACUGAAUAUAUUCUCUUGUUUUGGCUUUCCUGCACAUAUAUUUCUGUAUCAUAUAUGCACUAACGUGAAUAAUAUGGUUUUAUGUGUCUUUCUUAUUGCUUCCAGUGCAUUGGCUGUACAUUGUUAAACAUUCAUGAUAGGAUAUUUGGAAAACAGAUUAUUGUAGAAUAUACUCACUCUCUCAUUCAGCAUCUUUAGAAGUUGAAUCAGAUUUUAUGUAUAAAAAUAAAUUAUACAUUAAGCAGUUACAUUUAACAUCUAUAAAAGAACAUGCGAUUCUUCUCAUUUUGAUAUUAUAUGGUAAUAUGAUACACUAUUUUCAUUAUUUAUGUACAACCUUGUAAGAUGGUAAACAAAAUUAAAGAUAAUGGUAUAUGUAAAUGUAGGUUUUGAGGGCACUAAGUACGUACUCAUCUGAAUUAGAUGAUAUACAAAAUUGAUUAUUUUAGCUUUCCUGCAAUGUUUUAGUUAUCGUGUUCGUUUUGCUUCAUAUCGUGUUUUGUUUUAUUGAGGAAAAAACCGUUUUCUUCUGCAUGUUGUGUCCUGACGCAUAAGCACAUUUUUUAUUGCUUUAUACAAGAACAUUUACAUUUUUUACCUAAUUAUCUUAAUUUCCUGAAUUGCACAAUUGACUUUACCACCUGACAUUGUUCUUUUUGUAGGGUCAGUGAGCAUUUCUUCUUGAAUUUGUAAUACCAAAGAGAAGGUUUUGUAAUGUAGAAUGACAUGAACUUGGUACUAUAUUUUGUUCAAUGUUGUUUCCAUAUUUAGUUAUCAUACAAGGGACAAUUUAUAGCUUAGAUCAUGAAGCUAUGCAUGCGUGAGUCAUGAAGAUGACAAGAACAAGUAAAGAGAUUUUCUUUAUGCGUCCUGUAUGUGACCGAAUUGUACAAGAAUAAAUCGUAAUGAAAUUGUAGUGCUUUUUCUACUCUUUUUUCCUUGAUAAGUCUCUCAUAAUUUCAUACAGGAGUUUGAGUACUGUGUGGAGAAGUAAAUUUACAAGAGUACUCUAAUUCUAUAAAAAAUUAAAAUUUAUGCAUUCGUGUCAUCUACUUGGCAAAUUUCCAUACAUUCCUUUGUUUCUAAUAAUUAAAAGGCCAUCUUUUUCUUUGGUUUUACCUGCCAAGUUAGAGACAAACAGAGAUUGUGAUGAGCUUUUGGGAGUGGUUGUGGAUAUGGAACAAUCACUCCAUGAUUGUUUCUUAGGAAAUGCGGCAUUCCCAUGCUGAAAACAUGCAGUAGGGCGUGCAUCUUUUAGCUUGUGCAGCGCGCAGCUGCAGUUGCGAUGGUAUGGUCUUCUCUCAAUCUCGAUAUCGGACAUUGAUAAACAACUAUCAAAGGCACAUUGAAGCAUCAUAUGACUUGCUGCAGCAUCCAUUGCCUUAAUUUUUUCUAUAAAAUCUUUUGUGCUUGUUUCUGUUAUAUGGUUGAGUAUGAAGUUGAAUAUGCAGAUGCCUUCACAUGGAUUUUGAAGGGUUUAUAUAGUGCGCGUAAAUAGACUAGAAGACUGUGGAAUCUAGGAGAAACUGUUAGUUAGCAAGGGAAAUGCUUGGUGCAGAGUGGUAACCGUUUCUUCCUAGAAAGUGUUGUCUUUUAGUCGUAUUAUGCUCCAUGGAAUCCAUUUGGUGCUAUGUUCGAACUCAAAACUUUUCUUCUAGGCAUCUUUAACUGUAUUACUAAGCGUUCGAGUAGUGACAUCUCCUAAGUAAUCAAAUUGAUAGUUUAGUGGUUAACUAUAAAGUUGCACUAAAAAACAAACUGUCCUCUGCAAGUUACCUAAAUAUCUCGUUUUGGAUUCAUGGUUAUGUAUGAGAGACGGGUGGGAAUGUCUAUACAAUCUUGGAUGCAUAUUCCAUAUUAUAUAUGAUUUUUGUAAGUAUGCAAUAUUCUCUUAAAAGUGAAAAGCAUAAAGGAAUGCUUUAUCACACAUGCAUUUUUUCACUGGUUGAAAUUGUUUAAAAUGUCAUCGACGUCUUCUUACGUAAUCUUGCUUUACCUUUUUGGAACUGUUGGGUUUGCAAAGCAAUAUAACAACAGUCAACAAAGUAUUAAGCACUUCCUACUUAAUUGACAAGAAUAUGUAAUAGUCUGCUCUGAGAAUCAGGUUUGCCUUUCGCUAGUUUGCAAUGAAGAUAUUUUCAAAAAUUUGUGCCUAUUCUUCAAGUCAUCUCAAAUUCUAUUAUCAUGCUUGGAAUGUUGAUUACUCCUAGGGAAUAUAUUUCAUAUGAAUAUACAGUAUAAUCCAAAAAUGACAACCUGUUUUCAUUUUAGUUAACGAGGAGUCCCUUUUUUGGUAACACUGAUGUAUUGGAUUCCUGGUUUUUUUAAUGGGUUGGCUUUUUUGUACACAACAUUGAAUAUGUGAUAUUUCUCAUUAGACUGAAGAAAAAGAGCUAUCAGUUUACUUUUAAUUAUUGUGAAAACCCUGAGAAUGGAUUCUCCAUAAUGAAGAAGCUAGCUCUAUACCUCUCAAUCACCUAUCUUGAUUAGGUCCUCUCAGUUCUUCCGCAUAUUAAGCUCUAUUUGGUUUUAUUAUUAUUAUUAUUAUUAUUAUUAUUAUUAUUAUUAUUAUUAUUAUUAUUAUUAUUAUUAUUAUUAUUAUUAUUAUUAUUAUUAUUUUGCAGUAAAUUCAUUCAGGUACUCGAAAUUGACUUUAAAAGUGCAUUAGCACUAUGCUCUAAUACUGAUGUUAUAUUUUGUCUGCAGUGUAGUAACUCGCGAAGUUCCUUUUUACUCAUUGAAUUGGUUUCGACUGUAAUUUCAUGCUUCUUACAUCAUUUGCAAUGGUUUGCAUUUCCUGCUUGAAAAACUGUUUAAAUAUUGUACUCUCCUUAUCGUCUGCUUUUAACUAUUCACUGUUUCAGCUUAGUAUCAAGUGAUAAUGUUGUGUAUGCUAAUAAUAUAAAUACAAUAUGGAACUUUCUCUUAGGUAUAUUCCAAGGUCUACUUUGCAUUGUUGAUGUGGAAAGAUAAGUUACUUUCCUUGGAUCAAUAUUAACGUUCAUGACUUCAUGCUAUAUAUUUUUGUAGUGGUUGAUUACAAAGAUUGUAAACAUGUGUUUACUCACAGUUAAAAAUAAUAAUUCUCAGCUUCUUAUUUAACUGUCCAUUGGUCUACAGAAUAGGUUCAGAAUUUAGAGACCUCAAUGUUGCACUGAUAACUGUACAAGUAUACACAAAUUAUAGAACCAAUAUUACUCGUAUACAUCCCAAUUCUUAUAAAGCAUGGAACCUGGAAUGGUAAAACAAAAUUCUAGAUUUUCUAAUUCAUGCACUUGUAAUUUCUUUUACCCGGCUCCUUUUUAGAAUUCACUUUUUAUUUCACACCUACUCUUAUUUGGAAGAAAGUUUAUUAAUAUGCGCCAUAUGUACCAAAGAAUCCUGUUAUCUUAGUUUACUUGACCUUUUGCUUUAUAAGUCUAUCUGCAUUGUAUUCGAAGUUACUAAUUAGUAAUUACAAUUUCGAGUUGAUGACAUACAUGUAAUUUUAAAAACUCUUACGGCAGAAUAGUUUCAAGAUCUAAUUCAUCUCUUAAUUUGGUACUAGUUAUACAUCAUAUCUCAAACACAAUCUGCAAAAGAACUCUAUAAAUUAGCCUAAACAGAGGAGAUGGAAGUUAAGAAAAGAACUAUGCUUGCUCCUUACAUGACUAUUCAAUAUAUAUAUAGGAGCAUCAGCACUAUAUUCAAUUCUUUUUCUGUUAAAAACUACUGCUUGCUACCUACACUAUAAUUUCUCUUCUUUAUUUGACUGUUAAAUUUCUUCUGCUGUAUUCCUACCUGAAAAAGCGCAGAUAAAGGAAGAACAUGUAGAGCUUCUGGAACAAUUUACUGAUACUGAGCAGCCACUCCAUGACUUUUUCUUUUGAAAUGAAACAUUCCCAUGUUGAAAACAAACUGCAUGUGCACCUUUUGAUUUGUGCAAUGCACACCCGCAAUUGCGAUGAGUACGAAAAUCUGCAAGGCUGCAACCUUCUUCAUGGUUUAUGCCUGUGCCAAUCCACUCUUCAUAAGAUAUGUGAAGAUUGUAUCGAUCUUCUGGAAGCUGUCACAGAUAUGGAGCAGUCAGUCAAUGACUGUAUCUUAGGAAAUGCAACUUUCCUGUGUUGAAAACAUGCAGUAGUGUGUGCAUCGUUUUUCUUGUGCAGCGCGCAGCUGCAAUUGCGAUGACAUUCAUGGAUGCUGCUGCAACCCAUCCCCCCCUGAGUAAGGCACCUCUUUUGUAAUAUAAUGCAUGGAGCAUACUCGAUUAUCUCUAAGAAAUAAAGUUCAUAUUCUUUUGUGCCAGAAGCUGCAGAUUCUCCCAGCUUAUCUCAUUAAUGAUCAAAGGGUUUAUAUGUUGCAAGUAGAAAUUGCUGAGCUUAAAUAAAUAAUUGAAGUACAUUAAUCUUGGAGGAGAAUGCUUUGUAGUUUAUCAGUUAGUUAUCUACGUUUGGACCAAGGUACUUGAGCUAUUGUAUUCAGUAAUUACUAAGUAGUAGUUGAAAUACGACAAGCUUGAUAGGCUAGUUAGUCCUUGGUUUUUAUGGUUGAGAUCUGUUUUAUUCCCUGAGUUCUGAUGCUUAAUGUGACUAAUAUUCCAAUGAUAUUAACAGUAAAAAUACGCAUUUUCAAUGUUCGUAGAAGAUUCCACUACUCACAAGUGGACAUAAUCCGUUGUCCUACAAUAUAAACGUUUCUUUGAUGUUGAAAGUGAAAUGUUGUGUGUUGUGUUAUAUUUUCAAUGUAUAAAAAAAUUUUCUCCCCCAGUACAAGAAAUAUGACAAAGCACUGCAUAUCCUCAACAAUGUAGCAUGUUUUCUAUGUAUAUGACAAGCACUUGAUUUCAUAAUGCAUUUUUGAUCUUCACUUGGGAGAUUUAGGUGUAAUCUUGCAUAGAAGUUGAGCAGUUCUAAUGGCAAUUAAAUAUUAAUCUUAAUUUGUACUAUCAUAACUUCAAUACUUUUUUUUUUGAAAAAAAAGAAAUUAAUUUAAUAAUGAAAAGUCAUAUGGCAUCUACAAGAACAAUCGAGUCGAAAAAACAUAAAACAGAUCAUAUCGCUGAUUAAUCUAGUCCUUAUAAAGACACAAUCAAGCGAUUUGUUGAAAUUGAUAUAUACACAUAUAGCCUUCAUCAAAACUUCAUCAAAACUCAUUUGAGCUAUCGAUGGUAACUGCAAUCCCAUAUAAAUCUUUACCAUUGAAUCAAUCCUUUGAAUCUUUACCACUGAAUCAAUACUUUGAAAAUCUGACAGAUCUAAUGUCCUGGACAUUGAAACACACCAAAAAAACACGCCAAGCUCUCACAAGGAAAGAAUAAACAAAACCCAAAUAAAUUGGGAACAAAACUCAGCCAAAAAAGAUUUUAUUAAAGAUACAAUCUUGAAAGAUAGAAAUCCUUACCUGGGGAGUAGUAUUAUUGAAAAACAGAAACAAAACAAAGAAAAUAACUGAUUUGGGGCUUUCUGAAAACCUAUGGAAGCCCUCACGACGGCUAGAGGAUUUUUUUUUUUUUUAUAACUCCAAUACUUUUUGAUUAGCUUUUCCUAUGAUAUGAGAUGACCGAGUUGGUCCAAGGCCCAAACAAAAACUUGGGUCGCGGAUUCAAAUCUCUCUUAACCUUUUUCCUCCUACUCUUUUGGAGCACUGCACCCUAAUUCUUUUGUAUAAAUACUAAACAGGGAGUUUAUUGCAUUGACUUGUAUUCUGAUAUUCUCCUUGACCCUUAAAAAGUAUGGGCUAUAUAUUCAGAUAGACGAAUGCUAUCAUGGGCCAUAGUUCAAAUGUUAGUUUUUUCUUUUUUAUUUUUUUGAAAAUGUUCAAAUGUUAAUGUAUGGGCCAGGUGUCAUUACCAGCUGUAGACUUGUAGUGAUCUCUGCACCGAGCUUCUUCAAGCUUCUGGACUUCAGCAUCAAACACAUUAUGGAACUCUUGUUAUAUUUUUGCUUCGUUUUUUUUUUCUUUUUGCAAUUUACACCGAUUCUUCUUCAUGUUUUACUGGACACUUAUUUCACUGUUGUUAGCCAGUCACCUAAUCUGGGGAUGUUUAUAUCUAGUCUGCUAACAUUUCAUAUAGUGCUGGUACUAAUCAACAUUUAUUUUA